UUGCAGGUUUGCUCCAAGGUUUAAAUAUGAAUAUCAGUCAAGCUAAUUGUGCUCCCCUCCUCGUAUGCAGUGGCCGCAAACAGCAGUGCCCUCCGUAGUAUACACAGCCUGCUGCAUGUAGGGAUGGCCUUAAGGGACCUUGGAGAUAGCC
ensembl:snoRNA SNORA70 Small nucleolar RNA SNORA70